AUUCAUCUGAAGUUUGAGAAACACUAAGUUGCAGGAGCACUUCCUAGGACAGCUGGGCAUGGAGCAGCACAGGGAGCAAACCCAUCACUUCAAGCAGAUCUCUAAGAAAGGACUGAGGGAUGGAAACUGGGCCAGGGAAUGUGUCCUCCUGUGUACUGCACUGGAUGGACCUACCACUAUGGAGCACAGAGCAGAGCAAGAUUGAAGUGUACCUGGAACAAGUUUAUUUGCAGUCAUCAGUAUGAUGCAAACAGGAGAGAAGCAAAUGGCUGAAUCCCCAAAAAAGCCAGGGAGUGGAAGUGAAGGUUCAAACUGCUUGUGUUUAAGAUUGAACCAGAAGCCAGUGAGAGCUUUACAGACCAUCCUUCAAUGCAAACCAUUUAGGAACUGCUGGAGCCCCAAGAAUCCCAGCUGUGCAGAGCUGUUUGAACCCUGGGACUGAAAGCUAAUCAGCAAAGAGGAGAACCAGGUGUGCUGCAUUUCCCUCGGGAGGGCAGCAGGUGACCUCGCGCGGCUUUGCAGCGACAUCUCGUGGCCUGACUCACCUGGAGCCGUGUCAGGGAUUCCUGUUCCAGGGUGGAGAAAGUCUCAUGUGGAUUGAGUCGAACAUUUCAUGCAGUGAGGAGGUAGGAUGCCAUUUGAAAACCAGGUCAUUAAGUGUGUUUAAUUAGGUAAGUGACACUGGCAACAUGAUUGUCAGUUGUACAAAAAUAAGUUAGAAAUUGUUGCACAUGCUAAAAAGAAUAUAGGUAUUUGCCCUUCUUCCAAAGACUGUAAAGUUUGGACAGUAUAAUAAGAUGAACAUCUGAACUCGCUGUUGCAAACAUCUAAUUACACAUUAUCUAGUGCACAAAUAUAGCAAAGACAUAAAAUAAGUUAUCUUAAGCUAAAGUUAAAGAACAGAAUAUGAAAAUACUCUCCCUCAUGUGUUUAGCCUCUCACCGUCUAAACAGCUUUAUACCUCUUGGGCCACACAAACUAAGCUGAGGGGAGCAAAUCUAAAGUAGCAACAUACAGCAGAUCCACAAUUUGUCAAACCUCAAUUCACAGAACUUCAAUUAUCAAAAAUAUUUGUGUGUCCUUUGGAGUAAAGAAGCGUUCUUGCAAGGAGGAGAGUGGAAAUAUACUGACCUCCAAAGCCUCAGUGGAAAACCAGUGUAUGAACAAACCCCUCCAGAGGGAACAAAGAUAAGUCACAUAGAAAUCACAAUAAAUGCCGGGGGGUUAUCCUUAGCCA